AUGCUCGCUUCGGCAGCACAUAUACUAAAAUUGGAAUGAUACAGAGAAAUAAAUAGCAUGGCCCCUGUGCAAGGAUGAUAUGCAAAUUCGUGAAGCAUUCUAUAUUUUU